rnacentral:rRNA from 1 species
CACGUGGGUAACCUGCCUGUAAGACUGGGAUAACUCCGGGAAACCGGAGCUAAUACCGGAUAGUUCCUUGAACCGCAUGGUUCAAGGAUGAAAGACGGUUUCGGCUGUCACUUACAGAUGGACCCGCGGCGCAUUAGCUAGUUGGUGAGGUAACGGCUCACCAAGGCGACGAUGCGUAGCCGACCUGAGAGGGUGAUCGGCCACACUGGGACUGAGACACGGCCCAGACUCCUACGGGAGGCAGCAGUAGGGAAUCUUCCGCAAUGGACGAAAGUCUGACGGAGCAACGCCGCGUGAGUGAUGAAGGUUUUCGGAUCGUAAAGCUCUGUUGUUAGGGAAGAACAAGUGCAAGAGUAACUGCUUGCACCUUGACGGUACCUAACCAGAAAGCCACGGCUAACUACGUGCCAGCAGCCGCGGUAAUACGUAG